rnacentral:rRNA from 1 species
GACAGAGGGUGCAAACGUUGUUCGGAAUUACUGGGCGUAAAGCGCGCGUAGGCGGCUUUUCAAGUCAGGGGUGAAAUCCCACAGCUUAACUGUGGAACUGCCUUUGAAACUGUAAAGCUAGAGUGUCGGAGGGGAUAGCGGAAUUGCUAAGUGUAGAGGAUGAAAUUCGUAGAUAUUAGCAGGAACACCGGUGGCGAAGGCGGCUAUCGUGGACGACAACUGACGCUGAGGCGCGAAAGUGUGGGGAUCAAACAG